GAAAGAACGUAUAAGUAGAGGUGGAGAGGUAUCGAUGGCACUAUCGGCACUAUUGAUGGUUUGACACUAUCGAUAGCGUUCGAUAUUUUUUAGAAAGGCAAUGGAAAACAAAAAUACCAUUCGAAGUGAUGCCACAACAAUAAAACGCCACUGCUUUGGAUAAAAGUCAACGAAAAUUAAUUCGAUUUAGUCAAAAUCCUUAUGUUCAAAUAUUUAUGCGUGCCAGCGACGUCUGUAGAAUCCGAACGCAUGUUCAGCAAGGCUGGAUAAAUCGUCUCUGAUAGAAGGACUCGAAUUAGGGGAAAAAAUAUUAAUAUGUGGCUUUUAGACUAUCGAUUCAACAACAAUAUAGUGUGUCGUAUGAUGCCAAACCCGAAUUUAGCCCACUCAAGCCUUAUUUUUAAAUAGUUCAACUACUUGAUCUUCUUGUAGAUUCAUGACAUUUUUCCUCUGAACCUCAUGAAAACCACGAUAUCUUUCACCUGAACUGCCCUAAAAUUUUUAAAUGUUUAUUAUUUUCUGUUAAUAGCCUUGGCUAAAACGAAUAUCUACCCAAUUCUAAUACGCAAUGUAAACACACGAAGAUCUAACAUACAUAUGUAUGUAUGGAUUUUCCCACAUGCACCAUGUAUCCCAUCAUGAUCCCAUGUAUCCCCAAAUUAAAUAUAUUCAUUUAGA